UACAGCAGAACCAUUGCAUCGGAUCAGGUGUGCCAGUUCACCGGUGGCCUGAUUCCCAUGGUGGCCAGCUUCAGGCGUUUUCAUGAAGACCAAAGAAAUCCCACAGAAGACAGACACUAAAAUGAAGCUUAAAUAUGUCAUGAUGGAGUGUCGGCACCUCCCAAAGUAUAAAUGUAUAAUGGGCCUUCAAGAUUUUCGAGGAUUCCAGUUUGCUCUCACGAAGAAGAAUGAUGUCAUUUACUUGAGCUGUCUGAAGAAUUGACUGGAAAUUGACUGGAAAAUUUCUGCAUUCACAACCCUUUAUUCACUUCAGUCAAGCACCAAC